rnacentral:rRNA from 1 species
UACGGAGGGGGCUAGCGUUGUUCGGAAUUACUGGGCGUAAAGCGCGCGUAGGCGGUUUUUCAAGUCAGGGGUGAAAGCCCGGAGCUCAACUCCGGAACUGCCCUUGAAACUGGAUGACUUGAAUCAUGGAGAGGUGAGUGGAAUUCCGAGUGUAGAGGUGAAAUUCGUAGAUAUUCGGAAGAACACCAGUGGCGAAGGCGACUCACUGGACAUGUAUUGACGCUGAGGUGCGAAAGCGUGGGGAGCAAACAGG